rnacentral:rRNA from 1 species
UACGGGGGGGGCAAGCGUUGUUCGGAAUUACUGGGCGUAAAGGGUGCGUAGGUGGCUACUUUAAGUUUUGAUGUGAAAAGCUCCGGGCUCAACCCGGAAAUGGCAUUGAAGACUAUUGAGCUAGAGGUUUGGAGGGGGGACUGGAAUGCUUGGUGUAGCAGUGAAAUGCGUAGAUAUCAAGCGGAACACCGGUGGCGAAGGCGAGUCCCUGGACAACACCUGACACUGAGGCACGAAAGCUAGGGGGAGCAAACAGG